GGAACGUGGUGUUGCAGUUCAAACCAUUUCCAGCCAAAAUGGACUCUGGUCACAAACAAAUAGUCAUAACAAUCCAAACUGGUGGCUGAAUAGAGUUCUGAAGUUUUGAGAAAGAGAUACCUUUAGUAACCUAGACUCUGCUGGAUCAUAUGGCCCAAGACGCCAGUCUGAUUGCACUACAGUCUGGACCUGCUGCAGAUGCUUUCCCACUUUGGGAUCCAGUGAACCCUCCCCUUCUGAGCAGCAAAACCAAAUAAAGCAGUUCUCAAGGAUACAAAGACAAGACUGAGGAAGAUCCUAAUAAGGUGUUGCAAGGUGGCACAGGACAAACUUUGUCCAAAGGAAAUUGAUCUGACAAGAACUUCGGGACUUGUCAGUUCUUAGGGCUGACUGGUCUAUCCUCUUUGUAUUGACUUUGGCUUACUAGACUCAAGCAGAAAGUGACAAGGGAAGAAAAGGAAACAAACAGAAGCAAGUUUCCAAGUACAAGUUUUAUAUCAGGAAGAGCCAAUCAAAGAUCAUAUCUGGAAGACUGCUGCAAAGUUGUGAUAAAAGACCAAAUAGUAUUUUUACAGAAGGUGGAAUGAAUGACAGACUAAAGAUUUCAACUGAUUAAAGAAAUUAUGGAGUGCAUCAUUCUCAGUUUAUAUUGAACUGGGGUUGCUGAGAAAUUCCUCCUUAUAAAUUUACAUGGAAAUUAUCAUUUUUACUAGUUGAUUUCAGUUAAUUAGCCUACUGAAUAAUUUGAUGCUUGCACUCACUAAAAGAUUAUAGAGCACAAGAAUACCAUUUACAAAAUACUUUAAAAGUGGGGAUAUAAACACAAAUAAA
rnacentral:lncRNA from 1 species